rnacentral:lncRNA from 1 species
GGCAUGAAACCUGAGGGUGACUGUGGGUGAUGGAGAAGUGGAAGUGAGAGGCCUUCCUCUGACGUGCACAGGAUAUGAAAAUGUCUGAUAGUGUUGUGGCUGCAGUGAGACCUGGGAGUGGCAGUUUCUUUCACUGCAGUUGUCUGUCCAAAGCGAAGUGAACUAGCAAGUCUCUUACAAAAGGGCAAGCUCUGAACUGCGCACAGUGGAUGAAGACUUACUCAGUAAAUUACUUUAUGAUCACUGAUAGGAUUACGGCUGGGAACUUAAUAUCACAAGGGUAUCAGAGCAGAGCGGUGUCAUGCAUGUGAAUAUCUUCCAUCAUUUGUGACAAGAACAAGACCAUUAAAAAGCUGAGUCAUAGGUCUCUAAUCGUGGGAAACCUCGUAUGGCAGAAUGCAGGUCCAAAAGUCCUGGACUCUGAUCCAGAUAAACGGAAGUCUCAGGAAGAAGGUGGAGAAACUGACACCAUGACAGUUCUGAGCCUGGGCCUCAAGAGGCCUUGCACGCUUCCACUCACUUUUUUGGAACCAUGCUUCUGCUGUGUGAAUAAGCCUGGACUUGUCUGCUGGAUAAGAAGAGAUUCCAUGGAAGUCAGACAAGCCAUCCUAGACCAGCCAGGCCCAGCUAAUCUAGGGGGCUGCCCACAGAUGUAUGAAGUAAAGAAAUUGGGACACAGAGAAUGUAAAUGGAGAUGCAGUGGAAUCAGACUCCAGAGUUCCCACUCAA